UUGAACGCUGGCGGCAUGCUUUACACAUGCAAGUCGAACGGCAGCGGGGGCUUCGGCCUGCCGGCGAGUGGCGAACGGGUGAGUAAUACAUCGGAACGUGUCCUUAAGUGGGGAAUAACGCAUCGAAAGAUGUGCUAAUACCGCAUAUCUCUCAGGAGGAAAGCAGGGGAUCGCAAGACCUUGCGCUAAAGGAGCGGCCGAUGUCUGAUUAGCUAGUUGGUGGGGUAAAGGCCUACCAAGGCAACGAUCAGUAGCUGGUCUGAGAGGACGAUCAGCCACACUGGGACUGAGACACGGCCCAGACUCCUACGGGAGGCAGCAGUGGGGAAUUUUGGACAAUGGGCGAAAGCCCGAUCCAGCCAUGCCGCGUGAGUGAAGAAGGCCUUCGGGUUGUAAAGCUCUUUUAGUUGGAAAGAAAGAAUUAUAGUUAAUAGCUAUAAUUUAUGACGGUACCAACAGAAAAAGCACCGGCUAACUACGUGC
rnacentral:rRNA from 1 species